rnacentral:rRNA from 1 species
UCGAGCGGAAAGGCCCUUCGGGGUACUCGAGCGGCGAACGGGUGAGUAACACGUGAGCAACCUGCCCCUGACUCUGGGAUAAGCCCGGGAAACUGGGUCUAAUACCGGAUAUGACCGCCCCUGGCAUCGGGUGGUGGUGGAAAGUUUUUCGGUUGGGGAUGGGCUCGCGGCCUAUCAGCUUGUUGGUGGGGUAGUGGCCUACCAAGGCGACGACGGGUAGCCGGCCUGAGAGGGCGACCGGCCACACUGGGACUGAGACACGGCCCAGACUCCUACGGGAGGCAGCAGUGGGGAAUAUUGCGCAAUGGGCGGAAGCCUGACGCAGCGACGCCGCGUGGGGGAUGACGGCCUUCGGGUUGUAAACCUCUUUCAGCAGGGACGAAGUUGACGUGUACCUGCAGAAGAAGCGCCGGCUAACUACGUGCCAGCAGCGGGGGGUAAAAUUCC